GAAUGUCCCAACUCCCAAACCUUUUUACUAUAUUUACUACCCACUGCUUUUCCAUUUACUGAUCAACUCAACAUUGUCUUAAGAUCUAAAUAUCUUCUUCCAACAUAGAACAAGAAGCAUGAUUAGCUCAAAGAAGCUCAUCAAAAUUGCAAGAAAGUGGCAAAGGAGAAGUGCCAUGAGGAGGAAUAGAAUUUCUUUUCCUAAGAUCAACACCAACAGAAACGCUAAAUCUUCUAAUACAUCAACAUCAACUACUACAGGAAAUUUUGUUAUCUACACCAGAGAUCGAAAGCGAUUUACUGUUCCUCAAGCAUAUCUCAACAAUAACAUCAUGAAAGAGCUAUUGAAGAUGUCUGAAGAAGUGUAUGGGCUAUCAAGUUAAGGUCCUAUCAAAUUGCCAUUUGACGCUGUGUUCAUGGAGUAUGUGGUUUCAAUCAUCAAAAAGGGUUUAGUUAAAGACAGAGAAAGCUUUGCGUAUGUCUAUGGAAACCAGUUGCUGCUCAACAUCUGUUGGUUUACAUCAAGGACAUACGAGUCAACAACUGCUCAUUUUUGCUUAUUGAAGUAGUUCAAUUUUGUAACUGAUCCUUAUUACAGUGUAAUAUAUG
rnacentral:misc_RNA from 1 species